AGAAAGUUAUAAAAAAAAAAAAAUUUAGCUUGUUAUUAAAAAAAAAAUUAAUACAUUUAAUAAGGGUAAACUUGGAAAACAAAAACUAGUUUGUGUGAUGCAUUAAUGACAUUGUUUUUAGUGUAAGGAAAGUGACAGUUGUAGUGAGAAGAAGGGAGAAGGUCCAAAAGAGAAGGUUAGAGAGAAGAUUGUUAGCACUUCCCAAUAAUAAAAAUGUGAGGAUUGCUUUAGUGGUGGGAAAACUGUUGGAUUUUUAUUUUUUUAUUUUUUUAUUUUUUAUUUUUUGAUGCUGACACUCGAGAUUUUCUUUUGCCCUUUUCAUUUUUAUUUCUUUUUAAUUUAGUAAAGGGAACUUUUUGGGUAUUAAAGAUGGUGGAAUAAUCAAAUUCAGGCGUUUUAGGUCCGCAUGAAAAAAGGACUACCAACAAGAAAUGGGAAAAAGUUUCCUAACUCAUGGAGAAAUAGGAGAUGAAAAUGAACCUUUCAUUAGGGUUGGAAUCGGUUCGGUUCAGUUACUAACUGAGGGUAGUUGGUUUAAGAAAC
rnacentral:lncRNA from 1 species